rnacentral:rRNA from 1 species
UACAGAGGGUGCGAGCGUUGUCCGGAAUCAUUGGGCGUAAAGCGCGCGUAGGUGGCCCCAUAAGUCCGCUGUGAAAGUCAAAGGCUCAACCUUUGAAAGCCGGUGGAUACUGUGGGACUAGAGUACGGAAGAGGCGAGUGGAAUUCCUGGUGUAGCGGUGGAAUGCGCAGAUAUCAGGAGGAACACCAAUAGCGAAGGCAGCUCGCUGGGACGUUACUGACACUGAGGCGCGAAAGCGUGGGGAGCGAACAGG